rnacentral:rRNA from 1 species
GAAGGAAAAUUUGGGAGCUAACUGUCUCUUUGGGAAUAUUUGAAUUUUUUUAUAAAGUGCAAAAACUUUAAAUUAAUUAUUAGACGAGAAGACCCUAGAAAUUUUUUAAAUUAUUUUGUUGGGGCGACAAGGUAACAGUUAAACUUACCUAUAUAUAUUUGAAGCAUUAAGGCGGUAUAGAGAAAUUACUCUAGGGAUAACAGCAUAAUUUAAUAAAGUUUGUGAGCCUCGAUGUUGGACUAGGUACUUUUAAGUUUAGAAGA